UCCCACCAGGAUGUUUACAUCCCUAGUGGGCACGGAGGACAAGGCAAGCAUUUAAUAAUAUAUACUCUGUACAGUUAAUUACAAAAGGUGCAGUAAGUACAUGUGAUUACCACUGGAGGGAAACUAAUUACAUAGUCCCGCCUAAUUACAAAAGCUUGCCUCCAAUAUUUGCCACCAACCAAAAGUACAGUAUUAAAAAGGCAUACACAUCACUUUUACAACUUUAUACAGAAAACUACUAAAAAUAGACAUAGUUAAAAAUGGCAGCUUUCACAUUUCCAAAUGUAGGAGAAGAUCCAAGAGGUGCUUUUCUUGAUACUUUAAUUCAAGCCCCUGCAAAAGUAAGAAGAUUGUCAAAUUUAGAAAGGAAUCAAAUUGUGCAUGCAUUAUCAAUAAAUUACAACAAUCAGAAGCUGAAAAAAGGUAUGAUCAACAAGAUUGCAAGUGAUUAUGGAGUGAGCAGAGUAACCAUUUCUAAACUAUGGCAGAAGGUUCUACAAUCAACAAGAAAAGGUGAAGUUCCUAAUGUGCAGACAAAUUACAAAGGUGGCAGUCAAGGAAUUCUUUUGGAUUUAGAAAAGGUAAGGUCCAUUCCUCUACAUUUAAGAACAAAUGUUCGCACACUUGCUUGUCAACUUGGUGCAUCUAAAUCCAAAGUUCAUAGGCUAAUCCAAAAGGGGAAAAUAAAAUCACAUUCAAAUGCCUUAAAACCAUUUUUAACACCUUCAAAUAUGGAAGCUAGGGUGAACUUUGUCUUAAAGCAUAUUGAAUCCUCUACACUUCACACAAACCCAACCUAUAUAGACAUGUUUUCUAUUGUUCAUAUAGACGAAAAAUGGUUUUAUAUGACUAGAAUAUCACAGAAAUAUUACCUUUUGCCGGAUGAACAAGAGCCACAUAGAAGGUGCAAGUCGAAGAGAUUUAUAACAAAAAUAAUGUUUAUGAGCGCUGUUGCAAGGCCUAGGUAUGAUGCUGAUGGUAAUUGUACUUUUGAUGGGAAAAUAGGUAUAUUUCCCUUCACUUUUGAUGAACCAGCAGCUAGAUCAAUUAAAAAUAGAGCUAGAGGUGUUAUUGAAGUUAAACCUAUUGAAAGUAUCACUAAAGUUGUGAUAAAACAAUGUCUAUUGGAAAAAAUCAUCCCAGCUAUUAAAGCUAAGUGGCCACUGGACUGCAAUAGACCUAUUGUUAUCCAACAAGAUAACGCAAGGCCUCAUAUAUGCAACACAGACUUGGAUUUCAUUGAGGUUGCAAAAUCUGAUGGAUUUAAUAUUACGUUAGCUAAUCAGCCGGCUAAUAGUCCGGACCUCAAUAUUAAUGAUUUAGGCUUCUUUAGAGUUAUUCAAGGGUUACAACAUGAAAAGGCGCCUACGACAGUGUGUGAGUUGGUUGGUGCAGUGCUUGAAGCGUACGAAGAAGUUAGUGAUUCUACUUUGAAUCAUGUAUGGCUAUCACUUAUGGGGUGUAUGACAGAGAUACUAAGGAAAGAUGGAAAUAAUAAUUAUAAGCUCCCACAUAUAGGAAAGGGAAAGUUGGAACGCCUCGGGCAACUACCUACAGUUUUGAAUGCUCUGCUGGAUGUAGUCCAGAAGGCACUGGAAAUGGCAACUGAAGUACCAAUGCUGUGAUUACCGACUGUUCAGACUUGUUUUUGACUACCAGACUUGUUUUUGACUACUCAGACUUGUUUUAAUCUUGUAAGCUUAACUAAACUACUGCACAGCUUCAAUUUUAAGUAUGCACAGGUUUGAUUUUAAGUAUGCACGUGUGUAUUUUAUAAUUAAUCAAGUAUCGCACAAGUAUUGUUAUGGUCAAAAUCUGAGUUCCUGGAGUUCGAUGUUUAGGCGAUAUGUUUGUAGCUAGGUUCAAUUUCUUGGGGCUUCAUUUAGCCACCAAGAUGCUUUACGUGUUGUUAUUGAAAGGAGUUGGAGUGAAAACAACAACUCAUGUCCAAACAAAAAAUUCAUAUCCUUAAUCAACCAGUACCAAUAAACAAACCCAAACAGCGAUAUAUCCCAAUUUCACACACAAGUAGGUUCCGAAAAGAACAAUAAUAAACUGAAUCAUCAAAUAAAUGAAGUUAUAAUUGGGAGGGUUGUGGGCUUACAGCAGAGUGUCCAAGGAAAGGAGAAAUGAAAGUGACAUUCGAAAUUAAUCAAGAACUCUGACUCUUCCAUCAGGACUGGCCUAGACAAGGUCUGCUACUAGGAAGCCAUCUAAUUAAAUGAACAAAAAAUAAAUAAAAUCAUAUCAGCAAAAUCAUAGGAAAAAAAUCUAGGGAAACAAAAUCAUAUCAACAAAAUCCAGUGAAACAUGACAUACUAUACCUGAAUUAAAGAAUCGAGGAAGAAAAAUAUGUAAGAGGCCAGUUGGGUCAUCAAAUUUCAACCUCUUCGCGGCCCUGAUAUCGCUCAAGCUUCGUUGUAAUUCGUCUUGUCUCACUUUUUCCGGCGUGUCCUCCACAACUUCAAACAAAUCCAGGUAAUUUUCGAUUAUAUAUAUAGACAAAUCUGUUCCGGGGAUCAGUAACGAUGAAGACGAUAUGGUUUCGGAAUCAAAACCACAGGUUGGGGCUGAUUUGUGAUUGCUAUUUUCCAUUACAAUUACAUCUAUUUGAUUGAUGAUAAGCGGGGGAAGUAAACGGAAAAUUUGGGGGCGGAAUUAGGGUUCAUAAUAUCAGCGGAGAAGACGAAGACCGAAGACGAAGAAAGAGAGAGUGAAAUGGGAAGUGAGAGAGUGAAAAGGGUCAAAAGUG
rnacentral:lncRNA from 1 species